GCAUUUCUACCAUCAAUAUUAAUUCAAUAACUGCUUCUAAACCAAAAAGUUCACCACCGGACAUGUUAGAGCGGGAGUCUGACCUGAAAUUGCAGAGAAAUGAACAACAUCAACAAUCAGGAUUACAGCUUUCUGUGACGUGUUCCUCAGGUACAGCAGUGAGCAGUGAACUACAGUCUACACAGCCCAGUGAAGUUAAACAUAUUAUAUAUAACAUAUUAUUAACAACAUUAGUCAAGCACUUGUUUCUAGUGAAGAAACACCCAGUAAAUGUACCAAAGUAAUCAGAGUAAUAGUAUAAUGAUUACUGUAACCUCCCAUCUGUUAUAUUCUUUCCAACUCCAACUUUAUUUGUUAAGCACUUUAAAAACAACCAAAGUUGACCAAAGUGCUGUACAGGAGAAUAAAUAGGACAUCAUAAAUGUAAACAGUGAUGGUGAUGAUGAAGACCACUGUGAGGAAUAUAGACAGUGAUGGCGACAACACUGGAAAGUUCCCGUGGCAGACAACACGGACGAAGUCUGACGGCGAUGAGCUCGAUGUCCGGCCUGCAGACGCUCUUUCACACAGACGUGCCCGGCGUUACACCACCUGUUGUUUAUGAGCACGGACAGUCCCCCUCCUUUCUUCAUGCCGGUCGCGGUGGUGUCCCUGUCGGCUCGAACCGUCUGGAAGCCGGGAAUGGUGACGAUGAUUGCAGGGAUGUAGAGUUUAAAGCUCCUCUUCUUCAUCCUCCGUUUAACCCCCGCUCUGCAGCCUCACCGUCUCCUCCUCAGCUCCUCCGGUAUGGAGGGUCUCUCUCCAGUCAGGAGGCUAGGGGGCCUCAGGGCGAUCAUCUGGUCGCGGGUGAAAACAAUGCGACUCCCCGUCGCCAUGGAGACCAGCGUAAACAAAAAAUAAAAAGUGCUCAAAAACGCCAAAAAAGUAUUUAGGCGACAUGAACAAAGUAGUAAGAAAGUAAGAAAAGAGUUCAAAAUAGCAAAAACACACUGAAAACACAAUAAAACUACAACAAUUAAAGGAGCUGCCAUGACAGGCUGCCGUUGUCGCCGGCGCCAUUCCAUGGAAUCUGUACUCUUUGUACACAUUAGUUUACUGAGACCAUGGAAACUUACCAUAAUGAGGCAGAAACCUGCCUGGAAUCAUUUAUCCUGUACAACAUGUCAACAUAACUGAAGGCAUUACUCAUCUAAUAAAGUAACUUGUUUAUGUGGUUUAAAAACUGCUAAGUAACCAACUGUAAACUGUACUGUAUCCAUAUUUCAUAGUCUGAUAUUUUAACUUGAAAGUAUUAUUACCAAAGUUAACUUUCAGAUAUUUGUAAAAGCUGCAAUUAUGUUUUAACCCCUUUCAAAAUACUGUAUAUAUACUGAAUAAUCUAUCAUUUAUAUUAUAUAUUAUGAUGUCAUUUAAAUGUCAACAUGAAGUUUAAAUGUGAGACAGAAAUGUAUUGUGUUGCUUACAGUCAUUUACUACAGGUUUAAAUUUCACAUUUUCAUAUUGAUAGAUGUUACACGAACCAGGUUUUCAACUCUUCUACAUGCAGGAAAUCUUCAUAAAACCUCUGUGAAAUAACAUGUUAUUUAUAUAGAACCACACUUAUUACUGAAUUUAAAAAUGACUAAAACUCUUCUUAGAAAUAAAACACUUAAUUCAUGUUUCAUUCAUAUUCCAGUUACACAGAAAUAUAAAUUGUGUGCAUGUUGCAAGCAACAAAGCUAUAAUUUUUAUGUAAACUGUGCAGAUCAUGUCCUCCAUCAAGGUUUUUUUUUUUAGUAUACUGAAGUGUGAGCUGGUAAUGGAGCUCUGCAGUCAGUGUUCAUCUUGAUGCGUCUUCCUUUGGAUACCCAGACAGAGAGUACGGCAGUAACGCUAAAUAUAUGGAUCAGAAAACGUU